AUUGAACGCUGGCGGCAGGCUUAAUACAUGCAAGUCGAACGGUAACAGCAGAAAAGCUUGUUUUUUUGGCUGACGAGUGGCGGACGGGUGAGUAAUACCUAGGAAACUGCCUAAACGAGGGGGAUAACAUUUGGAAACGAGUGCUAAUACCGCAUAAUACUGAGAAGUCAAAGGUUGGUUUACCAAUCGCGUUUAGAUGUGCCUAGGAGGGAUUAGCUAGUUGGUGGGGUAAAGGCCUACCAAGGCGAUGAUCUCUAGCUGGUCUGAGAGGAUGACCAGCCACACUGGAACUGAGACACGGUCCAGACUCCUACGGGAGGCAGCAGUAGGGAAUAUUGCACAAUGGGGGGAACCCUGAUGCAGCCAUGCCGCGUGUGUGAAGAAGGCCU
rnacentral:rRNA from 1 species